AUUGAACGCUGGCGGCAUGCCUUACACAUGCAAGUCGAACGCGAAAGGGGGGCAACCCCCGAGUAGAGUGGCGAACGGGUGAGUAAUACAUCGGAACGUGUCCAGUAGCGGGUGAUAACCUCUCGAAAGAGAGGCUAAUACCGCAUACGACCUACGGGUGAAAGAGGGGGAUCGCAAGACCUCUCACUAUUGGAGCGGCCGAUGUCGGAUUAGCUAGUUGGUGGGGUAAUGGCCUACCAAGGCGACGAUCCGUAGCUGGUCUGAGAGGACGACCAGCCACACUGGAACUGAGACACGGUCCAGACUCCUACGGGAGGCAGUAGUGGGGAAUUUUGGACAAUGGGCGAAAGCCUGAUCCAGCCAUGCCGCGUGAGUGAAGAAGGCCUUCGGGUUGUAAAGCUCUUUCGGCGGGGACGAAAAGGUCCGUGCUAACACCAUGGAUCCAUGACGGUACCCGCAGAAGAAGCACCGGCUAACUACGUGCCAGCAGCCGCGGUAACAC
rnacentral:rRNA from 1 species